rnacentral:rRNA from 1 species
UACGUAGGGUGCGAGCGUUAAUCGGAAUUACUGGGCGUAAAGCGUGCGCAGGCGGUUUUGUAAGCCAGAUGUGAAAUCCCCGGGCUCAACCUGGGAAUGGCAUUUGGGACUGCAAGGCUGGAGUACGGCAGAGGAGACUGGAAUUCCUGGUGUAGCAGUGAAAUGCGUAGAGAUGUGGAGGAACACCGAUGGCGAAGGCAGCCUCCUGGGCCAGCACUGACGCUCAUGCACGAAAGCGUGGGGAGCAAACAGG